rnacentral:rRNA from 1 species
CCCGCUGAACUUAAGCAUAUUACUAAGCGCAGGAAAAGAAAACAACAGUGAUUUCCCUAGUAACGGCGAGUGAACAGGAAAGAGCCCAAGAUUGAAUCCGUGGUGGAAGGAACCUGAAACCAUGGAAUUGUAGUGCCAGGGGAGUGUGGCAAGGGUUAAGAGGUGCGGUUGAAUGGUCUGAAAAGGCCAAUCCACAGAGGGUUAUCGUCCCAUAUGUGCCGCACGUCCUUGAUCCAACAACGCUACUCUCUUCCAAGAGUCGUACAGUUUGGGAAUGCUGUGCAAAACCGCUGGUGUGCUUCAGCGAAGGCUAAAUAUUGCUUCGAGACCGAUAGCGAACAAGUAGUGUGAACGAAAGAUGAAAAGAACUUUGAAAAGAGAGUGAAAAGUACUUGAAAUCGUCCAGUGCUAAGGGUAUAGGAAACCUGUUAUCCAGCCCUCUGGGUUGGUCUUGAUCGGACAGGUUGGCUUCUCCCGGUGGUCCGCCGAGCAUUCCACUUCGGUGGCGUGUCAGUGAGGCCGAUACGGUGAGUGAGUCGACUGGUCGUUGCCUUCUUCGCUCGAGUGUUGCAGUGUGUGGCGAGUGUGCUGGAGCAUCCGCUUCUUCGGAGGUGGUUCUCACGUGCGCUUACCAUGUGCCACGAUGCUUGAAGCUCCGGAGGUUUCCGAUUUUGAAAUGAUCUUAUACCACCCGUCUUGAAACACGG